rnacentral:misc_RNA from 1 species
UUUCCGUAGGCGAACCUGCGGAAGGAUCAUUACAGAGUUCAUGCCCUCACGGGUAGAUCUCCCACCCUUGAAUAUUUUACCUUAGUUGCUUUGGCAGGCCGUGGAAACACCAUGGGCUCCGGCUUAUGCGUGCCUGCCAGAGGAAACAAACUCUGUUUUUAGUGAUGUCUGAGUACUAUAUAAUAGUUAAAACUUUCAACAAUGGAUCUCUUGGUUCUG